UUUGAAAUGGCAGAGAAAGUGCCAUUGGGUUUAAAUCUCAAAUACAAAACGAAAGUUUUUUUCAAAU
rnacentral:tRNA from 1 species